UCUCCGUUGGUGAACCAGCGGAGGGAUCAUUACCGAGUGCAAACUCAUAACCCUUUGUGAACCUAUAUCUGUUGCUUCGGCGGCUCGCUCUCGGGCGAGCCCGCCGGUUAUAUCAGUAUCUCUGUUUGAACCCGACGAUACUUCUGAGUGUUCUUAGCGAACAGUUAAAACUUUUAACAACGGAUCUCUUGGCUCUA
rnacentral:misc_RNA from 1 species